GCGAGUGAGCGGCAAAAGCUCAAAUUUGAAAUCUAGCACCUUCGGUGUUCGAGUUGUAAUUUGAAGAUGGUAACCUUGGGUUUGGCUCUUGUCUAUGUUCCUUGGAACAGGACGUCAUAGAGGGUGAGAAUCCCGUCUGAUGAGAUGCCCAUUCCUAUGUAAGGUGCUAUCGAAGAGUCGAGUUGUUUGGGAAUGCAGCUCUAAGUGGGUGGUAAAUUCCAUCUAAAGCUAAAUAUUGGCGAGAGACCGAUAGCGAACAAGUACAGUGAUGGAAAGAUGAAAAGAACUUUGAAAAGAGAGUGAAAAAGUACGUGAAAUUGUUGAAAGGGAAGGGCAUUAGAUCAGACUUGGUGUUUUACGAUUAUCUUCUCUUCUUGAGUUGUGCACUCGUAUUUCACUGGGCCAGCAUCGAUUCGGAUGGCAAGAUAAUGGCAGUUGAAUGUGGCUUCACUUCGGUGGAGUGUUAUAGCUUCUGCUGAUAUUGCCUGUCUGGAUCGAGGGCUGCGUCUUUUGACUAGGAUGCUGGCGUAAUGAUCUAAUGCCGCCCG
rnacentral:rRNA from 1 species